AUUGCCCACAGCCGGAUCCACGGUCGGUGACUAAUCUCCGGGAAGGCGUCCAGCAUGAGCCGUGAGGCCUGCGCCUGGGCCAGACUUUACCGCUCACCAGGAGUCUCUGCCCGCCGCCCCCAGCGCAGUUCUCUUCCCUGCUAGACGUAAAGUCCUGGGGACAAGCACAGCCCAGGGCACUUUCUGGAGAGAAGAUUUUGAUGGGGAAAGAUAAGAGAGCAUUUGGAUGUCUAUGCACCGUCAACAGAAAUGAGGCUUCAGGCCAAGGCUUCUAAAAUGCAGGAUUCCCAAAGUGGCAGUCACAUAAGACGGAUCCCUCCAUCGCCUUCUAGAAUAUUGAGAAGAUCAUCACGCCUGGGACUGGCUCAUCACGCUGGGACUGGCUCACAACACUAAUCUUUUUCUUGUUAGCAGAGACUCCAGGAAGCAGAUGAGCAGACCUAUGGGCCUGCUAUGUGCACCUGCCACCUGCCUGGGAUCCUGCAUCACCCAAGUCUUCCUGCGGACCACCCUGGGUGGUGCACAUGCGGUCAUCAUUGUACAAACGAAGCUUUAGUUCUAUAAUGAAAGCCCCUUUAAUAAGUUAUGCUCCUUGAAGACUGGGUCAGCGUCUCUUUCACCUCUUUAUCCCCAGACUUAGCACAAUUACAGCCCCAAAUCGGCAAUGGACCUUUGACCAAAUGACAUGUCAGUGCUUCAGGGAGCUUCACUGAUCAGGACAGAAAUGAGUGACUGGAGGAAGGUGACCCGGAUGUCUGUAACCCCCAGAAAGGGUGAGAUGGCUAUUUCAUCAGCCAGCAUUGCCGAGUUGUUUGUGUGACGACAUUCUGUCUGACUGCUGGGCCUUACCAGUGUGUUCUCUGCUGGAGCCAUGACAGUUUGAGUUGAGGACAUUUUACAUCAAUCACUGAACUGCACAAAAGAUGGAAAUCCAGCAAGGGACCCAGUCGACCUGACUGACCACAGAGCUACCUUUUGCUCUUUCUGGAUGCCACACGGCCUCCUCAUCCCGCCUGUCCUUGGAGCUUGUGUUGGUCCACUUUCAUGCUGCUGAUAAAGCCAUACUUGAGACUGGGUAAUUUAUGAAGAAAAAGAGGUUUAAUGGACUCACAGUUCCACGUGGCUGGGGAGGCCUCACAAUCACAGCGGAAGUUGAAAGGCGUGUCUUACAUGGCGGCAGGCAAGAGAAAAUGAGAGCCAAGCAAAGGGGGUUUCCCCUUAUAGAACCAUCAGAUCAGCUGGGUGCAGUGGCUCACUCUUGUAAUCCCAGCACUUUGGGAUGCUGAGGUGGGAGGAUUACAAGGUCAGGAGUUUGAGACCAGCCUGACCAAUAUGGUGAAACCCCAUCUCUACUAAAAAUACAAAAAUUAUCUGGGCAUGGUGGCAUGCGCCUGUAGUCCCAGCUACUCAGAAGGCUGAGGCAGGAGAGUCACUUGAACCUGGGAGGCGGAGGUUGCAGUGAGCUGAGAUUGUGCCACUGCACUCCAGCCUGGGCCACAAAGCGAGACACUGUCUCAAAAAAACAAAAACAAAAACAAAAACAAAAAAAUCCAUCAGAUCUCAUGAGACUUAUUCACUACCAUGAGAACAGUAUGGGGGAAACCACCCUCACGAUUCAAUUAUCUCCUGCUGGGUCCCUCCCUCAACACAUGGGAAUU
rnacentral:lncRNA from 1 species